AUGAGGCGGCCAUUUUCAGUGUGUCCACAGAGAGGCGCUGUGGCUCCACACAAAACCUCCCUCCGUUUUGCCCAUAGCCUAUACUUUCUAUGGUUUUGCCUGGACGUCAUUUUUCGGUGUACCUGAGCGUCCACCUGCUCUGCUCACUCUCCCACCCAGAUACUAAUUGUGUGGGGAGGUAAACAUAGCAGUCAAGUGGAGAGGACGGCGAGUCAAGCGUGAAUAUCAAUCUCCCCACAUCAGUGUCAUCAGAUGACUUUGACUGAGUUGAGGCGGGCUCAUUAGAGCGCUGGAGCAGGUCGCAAUAACAUCCAGGUGGAGGCCUCCGAAGCUACGGAAGCCCGCAGAGCUCACCAGUCAACAGCUCUCCAGGCUCUCCAGGCUCUACCUGCCUGCUCCUGCUGCUGCCACACAUCACUUCAGGAAACUGAUGAACUGUACUAACCUCAGAUUAACCUCCCACCCCGUCUUUCUUUUUCUGCAAGCCCAGACCAUCACUGGAGGUUCCAGAAAAUCAAGCGUAAGGAGGAAGAAAGAGAUCAGAUAACAAGGCAGCGUGGAGGCGCGAGCACGUGGUGUCACACGCUUGGCGCUGCAACCACCGGGAAUGAAGUGACAGGCCGCGGGGGAGCACAGGGACAGAAUCAAGAGUGGUGGCUUGGCCGUAAUAUCCAAUAGGAUCUUGGUCAGAGUAUACACCCCGCGGCUCUGAUGUCUUCCAUCUGCAGGUCCCUGUGGCUCCGUGGCAACGGGAGACUUGACGGCAGGACGGGACAGCAAUUAUUCUCACUUCUGUUGGUGGAAAGGUCCAUACCUGCCAUAGGUGCUGCUGCCAACCAAGGCAACCUUUGGGUUGAUGGGAGAGCAGAAUGGGUCGAUGCUUCAAGGUCCAGGCCGGUUCCCCCAACUGACAACAAGGAAGUGAAAAGCGAUGGUGAAUGAGAAGAUGGGUCUUCCUCUUCGUCCUUCUGCUGAGUGGGUUCGAGCACGUGACUUGUCGAGGCAGGCGUGCCAGAUGUUCCUAGCGGCCCGGGCUUUCCAGGCGCUUUUGGGUUUCGAGGAGUUUCGGUUGCUCCAGGAAACGAGAACCUUCGUUUUCACGACACAGGCUGUGUCACUGACGGCCACGCCGUGACGUGGAAAAAGGUUCUUUAAAGAAUGUUUCGCGCCACAAAGGAACGACCAGCACUAAGAACCGCUUAGUGCUUGGCAACAAACUAAGGUUAAAAAACUUUGUUUUCAACAAGAAGAACAAAAGAGGACAAUUUCACUAGAACAAGGAGGGUGUUGUAUCUGCUCCUAUUGUGUUUCAAUGUCCUGUUGACAGAUACAGUACAAAGUGGGUCAUUGUAAUGUUGCAUUUGCUUUGGUUCAUUUUAGGAGAAGAUGUUAUUGGAAUACUAGUUGUUACACCUCAAACGUAAGAUAUAAUGAUAGCUAAACUCUCCCAUAUCUAUAUUAUUAUUAUUAUUAUAACAAUUGAUUAAACCCCAUGUAGUGUUUGAAAAACAAUUGAAAGAUCUUUAAUUGCAAAGUGUGAAAGGUUUAUUAUCACAUAACUCAGUGAGAGCCAGUAAGCUGCAAUACUCUUUUGAUAGAUGAAGGUGAUGAAAUUGACGAAUUGCUCAAAAAAGUCUACUUUCCCCAAUUUACACAAUAAAAUCCCAAACUGAAGCAUCAGUGGAGAACUCACGAAAAAUCCCAAACUGUGCAGACAACUAGUGCAAUGAAAACAAAGUCAGUAAUUGGCCUUAUGUGCCAGAACGCAAUUUAAGCGAGUAAUCAAUGCAUUCUCCGGUGAUUAAUCCGAUUUCAAUUACAAACGGCGAUUAUAAAAUUGUUUAAUUAGAAUGGUCUUAUUUCUGCAACUGAGGAAGACACAGAAUAUUGUUACACCCAUAGUUAUUCAACUGAUUUAACUAGAUAUUCCCGAUUUAAGGAAACAGCUAAAUUUGUUGCAAAAAAACUAUUAAUGACCAAUAUUUACCAACCGGAUUUAAACACACUUUCCUUUUGAGGCACCCUUUAAGUCCAGCUUCAUGUACAAAUAGGUUUUGAGUAUAGGGUCCAAAUAGCGUUGGCCCAAACAAAUUGUUCAAAUCCUUCCAAAGAUCAAAUAUGCACUUACUUUGCAAAGGUGUUAGCCCAAGCUUUGAUCAAUAUCCAGCCAUGGUUUGGAUACACGUCUAUAGGGUCAGUUUAAGUGAAGGUGUAUAACUGAACGGUGCUGUCAUAGAGCAGACAAAUGCCCCUACGUGACGGUAUAGUAUAUGUGCCACCAAUUUUAGUGCAUGAGUAACAUAAUGUCUUCCACUGUUUCCAAGGAAUAGGGAAAAGAGCGCAUGAAGAUUUGGGACAUAGUGAUAGUGUUUCAGUAAUGAAUGUUGUUCUAAAGUGAUCCCAGUUACUGUAAAUCUAUUGUGAGUAGACAAAGCCUAUUGCUGCAUACUUUAUGACAAGUCACACGGAAGAUGCCAUUGGGCCUAUUUAAUCCCUCAUUAGAACGGUAGAGUCUGCUGAAAUAGCUGCUCUGUAUAACCUAAUUCCCAAGUACAGGAGAGAGAGCUCUCACAGAUGUAACAAAUAG